GACGAACGCUGGCGGCGUGCUUAACACAUGCAAGUCGAACGGAAAGGCCCUGCUUUUGUGGGGUGCUCGAGUGGCGAACGGGUGAGUAACACGUGAGUAACCUGCCCUUGACUUUGGGAUAACUUCAGGAAACUGGGGCUAAUACCGGAUAGGAGCUCCUGCUGCAUUGUGGGGGUUGGAAAGUUUCGGCGGUUGGGGAUGGACUCGCGGCUUAUCAGCUUGUUGGUGGGGUAGUGGCUUACCAAGGCUUUGACGGGUAGCCGGCCUGAGAGGGUGACCGGCCACAUUGGGACUGAGAGACGGCCCAGACUCCUACGGGAGGCAGCAGUGGGGAAUAUUGCACAAUGGGCGGAAGCCUGAUGCAGCAACGCUGCGUGCGGGAUGACGGCCUUCGGGUUGUAAACCGCUUUCGCCUGUGACGAAGCGUGAGUGACGGUAAUGGGUAAAGAAGCACCGGCUAACUACGUG
rnacentral:rRNA from 1 species